ensembl:lncRNA
UGACUGUGUGCUGUUGUGUGCAUGUGUGGCCGUCAGUGUUGCUACUGGACAGAGCUUGGGUCUGCUCGCCAGAUCACAGCAAAGCCAGCCUACUGAUGCUGUGUUGUGAUGAAGGAGAGUACAGUGGUGUGUUUUUGUUUUUGUUUUAAUUAAGAUUUAUUUAUUUGUUUUGGCUGUGCUGGGUCUUCGUUGCUAUGUGUGGGCUUUCUCUAGUUGCUGCCAGUGGGGGCUGCUCUUUGUUGCAGAGUGCAGGUUUCUCAUCGUGGUGGCUUCUGCUGUUGUGGAGAGCCGUGGGCUCUAGGGCGCGUUGGCCUCGUUGCAGUACAUGGGCUCAGUAGUUGCAGCUUGCGGGCUCUGGAGCCCGGGCUCAGUAGUUAUGGUACACAGGCUUAGUUGCUCCACGGCAUAUGGCAUCUUCCCGGACCAGAGAUCAAACCAGUGUCCUCUGAAUUGGCAGGUGGAUUCUUAACCGAUGAACCACCAGGGGAGCCCCUACAGUGAUUAUUAUUGCAGGUGCCAAGCAAGGAGACCAGGCAGCUCAUGUUCAAAAGACCCAAACUACCCGAUGGCUUUCAGAGAAGGCAGUGUUUGGGUUGAGGGCUGCAGCUCAUGAACUUUCUUCUGAUUCUUUGGUGAUGAGUGGGCCCCACAGCUUUUUCGCAGGGAGAAAUGACAGAUGACACCCAGCUCGUCCCGGUGACACGCAGGGUUGGGGUCUCUGGGACACCCACCAAGCAGGGACCCACAAGACCAGGAUGCUUGACUGAUGGAACCAGAGGCUCCACCCCUCCACGGCCAGUGCUGGGUGUUUGUGUUUUCAAUCGAUACAGGGCUUUUUCAAUGACAAGGGACCGGCUGCCGUCAGACCUGUGCAGUGGGCAGCUGCUGGUUCCAUGGGCGCGUCCUGGGUGGGACUGUGGGUUUGUGCAGGGAGAGAGAGCAUGUGUAGGGAAGGGGCUGAGGGCCCAGCAGACAGAGCAAGGCCAGGGACAGGAAAGGGAGGACAUCUGACCUCUGCUCGAGCUGCUCCUUCUCGUUGUGUCCAGAGACGCCACUGGGCUUGCUGCAAGACAGAAGUAACUUUUCACUGGGGAAAGGAAAGUGGUAGACAGAGCCGCUGUGAGAAGUGUAUCCAACAUCGUAUCUAGCUCCAGACCAGUCACAUGUCAGUCCUCAGGCCCUAAUCGCCCGUCCACCGUGUCUGAGACGUAACUGCAGCCGGAAGAUGAAUGGACCAGCUGACCCUGGCCCUGGGCCCUGGCCUCUGAUGGACUCUGCCCCCCACCUCCUCUGCCGCCCCGUUUCUUCUCUCCACCCCACCGGGCACAUCAGGCUCCAGACACCCGCCUCUGGUGGACCCUCAGUAACUACCCGCCAGAUGAAGGACAGGAUUGCCACUGCCUUUUGCAGCAGGCAGGUCCGAACUCUUCCCGGCGGCCUCACCUGGAUCUCAGCCUCCAACCAGCAGAGCGCUGGGCACCAGGUGGGGCAGCCGAUGAAGCUGGUCUUCUUGGGGGAUUUGUUGACAGCAUUUGAAAACAGCAAGUAAUGAUGACACGUACGUGAAAUGGACUAUUACGUCCCCAAGAAAAAUCUAAUUAAACGAGAAAAGUGUAUGUGGAAAAGCCACGUCCCACCCUGUGAACACCACGUGGCACCAUGUUAGGAAACACGCGAGUGAAGAGGUGACCAGCCUGCUGUUAGAAGUGACUGUCAAAGCUUCAUAAAUACACAUUUCU